CAAUAUUUGUGCAUCAAAGCUACGAGUCUGGUUUUACAGUUUCCUUCCAACUGAUAUCAAAUGACAGCAGACUCAGGUGUCUCUAAUGGAGGGUUAAUGGCUCAUUAUACCAGUGUUAAUUAGCAGUAUUAACCAAGUGAAGCGGAAAUCACAUUCGGUACCAGAGUUAGUUCCUGUUAUUCACAGUGGUGCCCAGGAGCCAACUCAUUUCAUAUUAAUGUGUGAUAUUGCUGAUAUUGUUGGCGUAAAAGCACCCAAGUUCACUUGGAGUACAGUGCUGCUUUAAAGAGGGUGAUGCUGCUAUCUGUAAGAGGACAAACAUCUGACACACAGGGUGGGAAAUAGAAAAUUGACAAAACAGCCAUGAAUGUGUGAAGCAUAUGUGGAGACAAAAUCCAAUAAAAGAUCAGAAAAGUUUAAAGCAGUGCAAAACAAGCUCUCCUGGUCCCUCUCUCUUUCAUCUUUCAUCCCUCAGGUCAGCACCACAUCAGCCUGACACACCAAACACGCUGCCAAGGGAAAAACAGGAUGGACCACUGCUGAUGACGUCAUACCGUCGACUGCUAGGUGCUGACGGAGUGAUGGCCUGUGUAGGCAUGUGUUUGUCUCCAUGUGUGUUUUUCUCUCGCUCUUUGUCACACCUCCUCUCUUUGAGCUGAUGUGUAUACAUGGACACAAGUGAAGAUCUCAGCUUCUCUUGGCCUGUGCGCUGAUGGAUUUAGUAGGAUCUAGAGGGUGUGACGGAUGGAGUGACUUUGUUCAGCACCUGCCUUCUGUCGGCUCUCGUCUGGGUGGAAAAAAAAAGAAAGAAAACUGACUGAAAACUGUGUGUCAGAAGAAGAGAGAAGACGGAGGAGGAGGGAAAAUACACAAUGCCUCCUCAAGUACCAGUAGCGUCAGUGAUUGGCUUCAUUUUCAUUGUUGUGUCUGGUUGUCCUUCUUUAAAAAGCUGCCAAAACUAUGACGGAAGACCUCCUUGGU